AAUCAACGCUGGCGGCGUGCCUAACACAUGCAAGUCGAACGGGAAAGUGGAGCAAUCCAUGAGUAUAGUGGCGACCGGGUGAGUAACACGUGACUAACCUACCUUCAAGUGGGGGAUAACCUCGGGAAACCGGGGCUAAUACCGCAUAACAUCUCUGUUAUGAGAAAGCAGAGAUCAAAGGAGUAAUUCGCUGGAAGAGGGGGUCGCGGCUGAUUAGCUAGUUGGUGGGGUAACGGCCCACCAAGGCUUUGAUCGGUAGCCGGCCUGAGAGGGCGCACGGCCACACUGGAACUGAAACACGGUCCAGACUCCUACGGGAGGCAGCAGUGGGGAAUUUUGCGCAAUGGGGGAAACCCUGACGCAGCAACGCCGCGUGGAGGAUGAAGUCCCCUGGGACGUAAACUCCUUUCGACCGGGAAGAUUAUGACGGUACCGGUGGAAGAGCCCCGCUAACUUCGUGCCAGCAGCCGCGGGUAAG
rnacentral:rRNA from 1 species